UUGUAUGGAUGAGCAAGGAAAGUAGUUUCUUGAGAUAGAAUCUACUCCUGAUGAAGAUACUGAGAA
rnacentral:pre_miRNA from 1 species